rnacentral:lncRNA from 1 species
AACUAAUCAUGUUUAGGAAUUGUUGUUUGAUUUUCCCGCGGUGUAUGAUGAUUUGUUAAAGGAGACUGUGAUGUAUGUAAAAUCCCCGCCCUCCCCCAAAAAGUGUACUUAAGCAGUGCUCAGCCCCUGCUCGGGGCUCUGGGCUGUUCUCCCUUCUUGAGUGGGCACGGAGCCCUAGCAUGCUAGAUCAAUAAAUCCCCUUCUGCCAAUUGCAUGAGUGGUCACUUGGUGGUCUCUUUCUCCGACGCUUUGCCGGACCCUUACAUUUGGUGCGUUGGCUGGGAAUUGCGCAUCGCCAGACAAGGAGACCCCAACGGACUCCUUUAGGGGGUAAGUAAGGUGCCUCUUCUUUUUCCUCCUCUUCUUCUCCUCCUUCUCCUCCUCCUUGCUUUUUCCUUU